rnacentral:rRNA from 1 species
AGGAAGUAAAAGUCGUAACAAGGUUUCCGUAGGUGAACCUGCGGAAGGAUCAUUAUUGAAUUCCAAGUGAAGUUGUUGCUGGCUUUCCGAAGCAUGUGCACACUUUGCAUAUAUUCAACCACYUGUGAACCUUUUGUAGAGCUGGCACAAUUCUCAAGGCAACUUGGAUGAGGAGUUGCUGGUCUUUCCGAAGAUCAGCUUCUCUCGAGUGCUCAGAUCUAUGUUUUACAAACCCUUAAUGUAAAYGAAUGUCUUUAAYGGUCUUUAUGGCCUUAAACUAAUACAACUUUCAACAACGGAUCUCUUGGCUCUCGCAUCGAUGAAGAACGCAGCGAAAUGCGAUAAGUAAUGUGAAUUGCAGAAUUCAGUGAAUCAUCGAAUCUUUGAACGCACCUUGCACCCUUUGGUAUUCCGAAGGGUAUGCCUGUUUGAGUGUCAUUAAAUUCUCAACUAUACUAGCUUUGUUAGUAUGGCUUGGAUGUGGAGACUGCGGGCUUCUCAGAAGUCGGCUUCUCUUAAAUGUAUUAGCAGAACUUUGUGCGUCGCUCUUGGUGUGAUAAUUAUCUGCGCCUUGAGUUGAUCACUAUUUGUGGUUCAGCUUCUAACUGUCUGCAAAGACACUUUAUGACAUUUGACCUCAAAUCAGGUAGGACUACCCGCUGAACUUAAGCAU